UUUUGGUUUCAAAUCUCCUGACUCUUGGGUUUCAGCAGCAUCUGGGAGGCCAAAUGCGUGCUGAGAUUAGCAUGUGCAGGGUCUGUCCUUGGCCCUUUCCAUAGUUUCCCUAAGAGAGUCAUUAGGUUGACCCCUAGAUCUGGCCUAAAUCCAUCGGCUUACGUAUUUAUAUUGGGCUUCACAGGCUGCAUGGAAACCCUUCGCUAGCGUCCCACAUGGAAUCCAAGAGCAGAAGGGGAAGAAUCUCAUCGGUCCAGCUCUACUCAGUUCACUGAGCACGUGACUCAUGCCACCACCUAUUGAUGUCUUGGGAUUCUGGAGCAUCAGCUGGCCUCUGCUAUCAAUAAGCCUGCUUCGGGCAGCUUCCUCUCCCUUUUUAUGGAAUGGACUAAGAAAUCUACAUGGUUGGGGUUGUGCGAAAAUCAAGAGCAGUGAGGUUUAGGCUGGAGAUCUGGAGACAUUCGUUACAGAAUAAAACAUAUGAAACAGUGCACGGGCUUUGUGACAGCUUGUUUGUCUCCUCAGAAGCCAUUUUUGCUCAGUCCUACAUUUAGAAAGAACCCAGAUUCAACUAGAAAUUGGCUCUCUGAAUACAGAGGAUGCCUUUGAAUUCCGAUUUUGUCAGUAGGGGUGAUGGAGAACACUGGCAUCUCUGCAAUAUGCUUUUGAAAAUAAAAUGCUUCAUAAUAAAAUGCUCUGGCCGUUUCCCCUAAAUCCCAUUUCCCCCCCCCAAUUCAGCCGCCUGACGUCCUAAAACAUUGCCCUAACAUCUAUACAUUCAUCUUAAUCUGAGGCACCCA
rnacentral:lncRNA from 10 species